rnacentral:rRNA from 1 species
GAUAUUGGUCAAUGGGUGAAAGCCUGAUCUAGCCAUGCCGCGUGCGUGAAGAAGGUCUUCGGUUUGAAAAUCACUUUUUGUUGGGAGGAAGGGCAGUAAGUUACUACGUACCUGUUCUGACGUUCGCGACAGAAUAAGUACCGGCUCACUUCGUGCUAGCAGCCGCUGUAAUACGAAGGGUGCAAGCGUUAAUCGGAAUUACUGGGCGUAAAGCGCGCGUAGGUGGUACGUUAAGUUGGAUGUGAAAGCCCCGGGCUCAACCUGGGAACUGCAUCCAAAACUGGCGAGCUAGAGUACGGUAGAGGGUGGUGGAAUUUCCUGUGUAGCGGUGAAAUGCGUAGAUAUAGGAAGGAACACCAGUGGCGAAGGCGACCACCUGGACUGAUACUGACACUGAGGUGCGAAAGCGUGGGGAGCAAACAGG